rnacentral:lncRNA from 1 species
GAAGUUAAUCAAUUGAUGGGUUACUAAAUUGAUGAUUUUCAGGAGUAUAUCCACCAAAGCAGGAGGUGCGGUCUCCUGAUAAAAAACGAUGUUGUACUUUUCGAACAGUAACGCAAGGGUACUAUGAAGCCGGUCCUUAUGUGGCACCACCUCCAGUUAAUGACCCUAUGAAAUAUGGUCCUCAACACCUCCAACAGCCACCUCCUCCAGAAAGAACUAGUCAGAGGGAUGAUGACUUUGGCACAGGAUGGUAACUGAGCAUUUUUUUUUCCUUUUUAUUUAAAUAAUGAUUCACUGUGUACUUAUUUAUUUAUCCUUUUCCUAUGUGACACAGUUGCUGCUGCUGAAUCUAGAACGCGUGCUUUGAAGGACUAUGAAUGAUUCUCUGUAAAAUUUGCAGCUUAUAAUUGUUUUUCCCUUGUGUUUCUUGUUGGAAAUAAUAAUCAUUUUCGCUCUUUUUAUGUCACUGUACGUACUACGUUUAACGUUUAACAUUUGUCUAAUUCCUUCAGCCUUUAUUAUAGGAAAGAUGUUAACCAUGUUAGAAAAUCUUGCUUCCACAUGAGUCUAUCUUAGAAACAGAAUUUGGAAGAAAAAUUGAUUAAAAAUUCAGUUUCUACAGAUUCAAAGUUCAUCGAGUUACCUACCGAAAUCAAUCUAGCACCUGUCCAUAUCCGCUUAAGUGAUGGUAAGGGAAGCAUUAAGCGGCCGACACCAUAGAUAGCCACUGCAAAGAAAUGGAGAACCAAGUUCAUUGGCCGAUGGUCUAGACCAAAGACUAGAGCUAUGGGUCCAAGAGUUUUGGGUCUCUUUUAAUUGUUAGAUCCAAGAGUCUUAGGUCUAGCUUUAAUGCUGGACCUAAAAACUACGAGUUCGGACAUCAAAAUCAAGAGUUGUGGGUCUACAUGCCGAAUCUAAGAGCUGCGGCUCUGGAGAGCCUUGGAUUGGUCUACAAAGCCAGAUCCAAGAGCUUUAGGCUAAAGAGAGCUGCAAAACUCAAGUAAUUUGGGUUUGUCAUUCUUUUCCAACCCCAAGUUACUUGGUCUGAAAAGCGAUGUUAGACUCAAGUUAAUAAUAAUAAUAUUAAUAAUAAUUGAUUUUACCUUUAAAAUUAAAUUUAUGUUUUUUUUAAUAGUAAUAAUUUUUUUAAAUGUAAUAAUAUUAAUAAUAUUAAAUUUGUCUGAUCCAAGUUUUUAUAGUUUUUAAUUUUUUAAUAAAAUUUAUGAUUUUUCUACAAUAAUGACAAUAUUUUUUAAAAAUUUAAUAAUAAUAAUAAAAAAAACUCAUAUAACCCAAAUUUUUAUAAUUUUUAGUUCAUACAAGUCAAAUUUAGGAUUGUUGCAGACACCCAGCAGCCACCUCGUGAAAAGAAUAGGAAUAAAUGGCGAGUAAUACUGAACAUUCACACACACAAACAUACAAAUUGGGAUUAUUUGUUUUUGGUGAAGCAAUUGGCUGUGUUGCUGCGAGUUCCUCUCCAAUGUGUCCGAGUGAUCGACAUUGAUUCUUCCUAGCUCAUCAAAUCUUUCGAAAUUCUUGUGGGAAAUCGUCUUAAUCCGUUUGGUAUUCACUUAUGAAACAAUAAAUGUUUUUUACAGGUGUGCUGUGAAUUUUAAUUAUUUCAGAAAAUACGCAACAAUAAUGACAUUUUUCUUUCAAAGUCCGUACUUUAUUUACAAAUGAAAGAUCAGAAUAAACUAAAGGUAAAAUUGUGUUAAAAAUUAUUUUGGAUUUAAAAUUAAGGUGUGUGUGUGUGUGUGUAUAUAUAUAUAUAUAUAUAUAUUUAAUGUUUUCCCAUAUGCAUGUUAUUGUUGUUAUUGUUAUCAUAUAUUCUGUUUGGACUGAGAUCCAUUGCUAAUAGAGACGACUAAACCCUAGUAGGUAUUUUGAUAGUUUGGUAAUGAGUCCAAUACCCAAUGGAAAAAUAGGAAAAUUAAAAACAAAAGUAAAAGAAUGAAAGUAAAGCACGAAAACAAAGGAUAAUCCAAGAUAUCUCUAUUUUAGUGUCAAGAUUCAAGUCUUUGAAAAGAAAUAUACAUUUACCAUUAAUAUCACAAAUACACACAUAAUUCAUUAAUAAUAUUAAAAUACAGUUAAUAAGUUGAUCAGGUUUAUGUUUAUUUGAUUAAUAAGAAUGAAUUAUAUUUCCAUUUAAUUAGAAAAAUAGCAAUAUAUAGUUCAAAUUAAUUUGAAUAAUCUGAUGGCAUGGCUUAAUAAUAAAUAUGGGUUACAGGAGAGAGCCACCCUUUUCUAUGCAAUUCAAGGCUUUUGAGCUAUUUUUUGUCUCGUUUUGAUUAGAAGAUCAAUUAUUAUUUUCAAUAUCAUUUCGGAGGAACCUUCUGUCCAUUUUCUAUGCAUUUCAAGUUAGAAAACGAAGGCAGAUUCCACAUUGCUUUUUUGAACAAAUGGAUUGAAUUAUUGAAAGAAAUCUCAAUUGUCAGAACAUGUAGGUCGUCUAGCUAGUUUUUCCAUGCAUGUCAGAAGUCGCCAUUGACGAAAACCUUAGCCAAGUCUAUAAAACAUAAUAUUUCAUUUCAUUCAUUUGGUUUUUCCAUAUACCAAAUAAGUUUUUCAUAGGUGAUCAUUUCAACAAUGAGUUACGACAGCAACAACCAUCAAGCUUCCGCAGGUAAUUGAAUUUAUGUUCGGCUUCUGAAAAUCUUUUUUCUUCCCCCUUUUUUUCUGUGAUUUAGGAAGUUAAUCAAUUGAUGGUUUACUAAAUUGAUGAUUUUCAGGAGUAAAUCCUCCACCACCUACUUCAUGUCCACCAAAGCAGGAGGUGUGUUAUCCAGAAUAUCUUUCUUCUCAACCACCAAUGCAAGGGUACUUUGAAGCCGGUCCUGAUGUGGCACCACCUCUAGUUAGUGACCCUAUGAAAUAUGGUCCUCAACACCUCCAACCGCCACCUCCUCCUCCAGAAAGAACUAAUAAGACGGAUGAUGAAUUUUGCACAGGAUGGUAACUGAGCUUCUUUUUUUCCCUUUUUAUUUAAAUAACGAUUCACUGUGUACUUAUUUAUUUAUCUUUUUCCUAUGUGACACAGGUGCUGCUGCCUCUAGGACGCGUGCUUUUAAGGACUAUGAGGGAUUCUCUGCAAAAUUUGCAGCUUAUAAUUGUUUCCCUUGUGUUUCUUGUUGGGAAUCAUAAUUAUUUCCGCUCUUUUUAUGUCACUGUACGGACUACGUAUGCUUUAUCCACACUAUAUUCUCCGUUUAUUUGAGUUGAGAGUAUGUUAAUAAUUAUUUUUUAAAAUUAUUUUUGAUAUGAAUAUAUAAAAAAUAUUCUAAAAAUAUAUAAAAUAAUUCUAAGUGAUGUUUUUUAAAAUUUUAACCGUUCUCUAUUUAGCAUGCAAUCCUAAUCAGUGGCGAAAUCUUAAAAAGGAUCUCAGUACAAUCAAAUUGCUGAUAGAUGGGCUAUAGACUAGUUUGUGUUUUGAACGUUGAGCAGCUUGGUAAUGGGACAGACAGGCUCCAUGGCGUAACCUGCACGAGUGGGAAUGGAGACUGUAGACUUUAGAAAAGAAAAGAAAGGCUAAAGAAUUAUGCAAUGAAACAUAACUAAUCAUUGUAUAUACUCUUAUAGGUUGUUUUACAUUACAUUUGUACUUGUGUUUUUUAAUGUAUUUUAAAGGUGUGUUUGGUAUAAAAAAAAAACAUCAAAUUAAAAUUUUAAAUUUUUUUAUGAUAGUUUUAAUGUAAUGAUGUUACUAAUAAGAAUUUUUUUAAAAAAAAUUAAUAUAUUUUUUUAAAAAUACAUAUCAAACACAUAUUUGAUCUUCCGACAAAAGAUAUGAACUCAAAUGAUUUGUUAAUUCAAGGGCCGAUCGAUUAAUAGAAACACUCGAUCUUUUGUAAGAAGCUUAAAAUAAUAUCAUUCCAAGUUUUUUUUUUUCUAAAUCAAAGAUUAAGUAAAUCUCACUUAAACUUUCAACCCAUGACACGAGACUCACUCGAAACUAGAUUCAACCUGGGUGGUAUCUUAUAACUAUGCUAUUAAUGACUUUAAUUGCCACAUCUCCGUGUUCGGCUUGUAAAGGAAACAUAUGAACCCUCGAGCCUCGAAGUUUUUUUUAAAAAUAAAUUAGGCAUUUAGUACAAAUUCACGAGGGAUAUCUUGUUCCCAAGUUGAAGAACAAAUCAGAGAAUCACAGUUGUAUGACUUCUACAAGAAUGGAGACUAAGCUAUUCUCACAAACGUGAAUUGCUCAUGCAAACUAGUUUCAGUUCUUGAUGGAAAAUCGCUCUAUCCAUUCUGUCAGGCAAUCGGAGGAGCUCUGUGGUAUGGUGGUACCCUUACAGGGAAGAACAUUUGUCUAAGAAAACAAGGGGUGAAUGGUGCUGUUACCACUCACUACUUCUAGACUUUCCCUUUCUGUUUUAGUCAAAGAGCUCGGGACUGAUACCAUGCCUUUUAUAGGCUUAAAAAACAGCAAAGUUUUGACAUUUUCUGUAAAACAUUUAGGCAAUGAAUUGCUUUCAAAUAAAACCAUGGGAUCCAAAACAGGGGGAGACUGACAGUUUUGUUGUUACAUUAUUGUCACAAAUUAAGUUAUUGAACCCAUUUUUGUUAUCAUCAGGCAAUGUAUACAGAGCUUAGGAUCAGUUGUUCACUUGACAAGUCUAUUUGACGUUUGGAAGCUCUUCAUUUAAGAUCUAAGAUUUUUUCGUGUAAUCACAUGUUUGCUUGACCUAAGACUUGUAAUCAUAUCAACCAUGAUACCAAAAUGAAAAAUCAUUUGUUUGUAAAUUAGUCCUUUAAUUUGUUUUCCAUAACAUUUUUAUUUUUUUCCUACAAUGUUCUUUAUUUUUAGUUAAUUCUUUUUAAUACUUAUAGGUCCUGUAAGGUCUUUACCUAUAUAUUUUGACCUAUUUUAUAUAAAUCACUUAUUACAAGCAAAAUAAAAAGUUUGAUAUUUUUAUGUGAAAAUAUCAUUUCUUCCAAAAAAAAAAAAAAGAGUUCAUCUAUAAAGAUAUGGGUUUGCUUGAGUAUUGUUUUUUAAAAAAUUAUUGAUUGUUGAAUUUGUUGAAAGGAUAAACUUCUUUUUUUUUUACUUUCUAAAAAUAUGUUUAUCUUGAAAAAAAUAUUAAAUUAAUAUUUGUUUUCAAUAAUUUUGAUGUGUUAAUGUUAUAAAAAGAUUCUGAAAAAAAAAUUAUUUUAAUAUAUUUUCAAGUAAAAAAAUAAAAUAACACUUUUAAAAAACACUUUAUAAUACCAAGCACAUAAUUAAUGCAUUAUAAUAUAUAAGUAUAUAUGACAGAACGGGCAUAUGAGAAGGGCAAUUUAUGAAGUUUAAUAUGAAUUUAACAGUCAGGGGAUUAACUUAUUAUUUUCAAAAUCAAAAGGACUAAAUUGCAACAUAAUAAAAAAGGAAUUAAAUUAUAAUUUUCCCACAACAGAAAUGUUUUGUCCUUGUGAGCCUGAGACUUCUGUAGAGACCCAAAUCAGUCACUAGCAACUCAUAUUUUACCUUCUAACAAAUGGAGCAAAGUCCAUUUAUGAUCUAUCUAUGAAAUUGAAAUGAAUGGAGGAUCUCAAUUCGUGUAGAGUUUAUAACAUUCUAUUAAAAAAAUGCUUUGGCAGCCCUUUUCUUUUAAGCUUUUAGAAAAACAUUCUGCAAGGAAAAAAAAUCUAAUUUUCUGAAUGAGCUGCCCUGACACAAGCUUUUUUUUAAGGGAAAAAAAAUUGAUCAAAUAAAUACUGGGAAAUUCGUGAAAAUUGAAUCAUGCUUUUGUUUCAUUUGGGCAUCGAAUCUGUCUAGAAAAACAUUAAUGCAACUUUAUAUCGAUUAGCUAGGAAAGCUCUCCCAGUAUGUUUUGAGAACACUUGGUCUAGACAUUAGAAACAAGUGAAAGUCGCUUGCUUCCUAGCUGAAGCUUCGUUUCUUCUGUCUCACCAUUGAAAUAGUCGAGGAUAUAUGCUGAAACAUAGAUGAUCUAGGAUUAAAGAUGCAGAAAGCACAUGAAUUCAUUCUUUGUGCGACUCCUUCAACAUAAUAGCAAAAGGAGAUGGUCUCUCAAAGUGUUUUUGGGUAGAGGUUAAAACACAAACCUGAAACCAAACACCAUCUGACAUGCAGCGAAAGAGUAAUCAACAGAAUUCGGAUAUACUAGUAUGAAAGCAGAUAAAAGGGCCCCAAGCUAUAAUUUGUGCAUGUCAGAAAGAGCUACAAUCAAAAUUCAUCCCACAAUAACUUUUGUAAGGACUGAUUAUUGAAGAAGUAUAUAGGACAUCGCAGGAUUCAAGAUGUGCUGGGUUGAAGCAUCAAGCUCGUCACAAGAAUUCUACAAUAAUAGUAUUGUCUAAAUGUUCAUCAAGAAUUUGAUGAUGAGGUAAUAUUUAUUUACCCCGAAUCUUGACCUUAAGUGUCCAUUUAACCUUUCCCUCUGGCAACGGAAUAGACUUUGGGAAGCGUAGUGGCACCUCAACUUGUACUUAUAUACAAGCGGGAUAGAUCCAAGAAGAGAAGAAAAUCACAUUCGAAUUUGUUCUUCUUCUCAUGUCUCUGUUUCUGUGUUUAUCUUUAUUGUAAAUUUGUAUAUAUCUAGGAGUUAUAAAUUGAAAAACAUAAAGAGACAUGCCCAUUUCAAUACCAAAUAUCGAGUUCCUGACUUCCUGAGGCAAGAAGUUCAACCCCUUUGAGGUAUUUCCUCUGUACUCGUGUUUGUGCCUCAUGUUCUUAAGCAUCUGUCCAGUGAUGCUAGCAAGCAAGGGUCAAAAGACGUGAUGAAAUAUGAUAGACUAAAAAUUGGAUUAAUAAAAAAAAUAAAAACGAGCCUUUUGGUUGUACUUUAAAUUGACUUGAUCCUAAUUAUUGUUCUCUGCAAAUAGGAAAUCAUAUGUACAGAAGCAGAUAAUGGAAUCAAGAAUAUUCUUUGAAUUCGUCAAGAAUAUAUGAAGUAUGUUUAUAGAAAAGGAUGCCGAUAAUGUUGAAAUAGGAGAAAGAUUCCCUUUUGAUAUAUUUAGAAUCAAGUAAAAAUAUUCCUAGUUUAAAAAGAUUUGUAUUUAGGUUUUUUAUUAAAUUAAUAUUUAAAAUCCUUGUUAGAAAAAGAUAGUUUAAAUUUAUCUUGAUUCUAUGAACUUCUUUUAAAUAUAAGGGUGACAUGUGUUAAUUAUCAAUGAAUAAAAGCUUAGUAUUAAUUAAAGUUUCUUGGAAUAAAUCAAGUCUUGGUUUCAAAAGAUGACACCUACCAAUCUCACGGUAAGAUUUUAGGAGCGUAUCCACCGCCACCGAGCCAGCUGGGGAGCGGUGUCCUCCUCCUUCGCAAGCUUAUGCACUACCCGUCCAAGCUGGUCCGUAUGUUGCUCCACAUCCAGUUGAUUACCCUCCGACAAAUGGUGCUGAACACACCAAAAUAUCACCCCCUCCUGAAAAAGAAGAAGCAUAAAUGGUAACUGAGCAUUUCAAAACUCUCUCUGUGUAAAUUCCAUUGCAAAUAAUAAUUCAUCGUUAUAUAUAUAUAUAUAACGAUGAAUUAUUAUUUGCAAUGGAAUUUACACACAGAGAGAGAAAGAGAGUGUGUGUGUGUGUGUAUAAACACCCACACACACCUGAGGGGACAAAUUUUCUUAUCUUUUGGACGCAGUUGUCCGUGUUGUUUCGAAUGUUUCUGCAGACUUUAAUUCUUCAUAGCUCACAUCUCUCGGAAUCCACCUUGUGGGAAAUUGUCUUAAUUUGUUUGUUUUUCACACAUGUUUUCUGUAACUAAUUUCCUUGUACACAUAUUUUGAUGUAAAUCUGUUUUAUUAUUUCAACAAAAUGGGCAAUCAAUCAUGGAAUCGCUCUUUCAAAAUUAGAGUUUGGUAUCGGUUUUACCCUCCGACUUUUAGAAAUUCUUAAUUGAGGACUUUUAUCCAGUUUUCAGGUUUUCCAUUCCACAUUAAUUUCCAUCCAAAUUGUACUUUUUUUAUAACAAUUAUUAGGGGUGAAAAAAAUAUGGAUAAGCUGAUAAAACUAAGAAAAAAAUUAAUUAAAAAAACCAAACCAAGAAAAAAAUUAAAAGAAAAAUUAGUUUGGCUUCAAUUUAAAACUUAUGAAACUAAUUGAAUUGAAUCAUACCGGUCCAUUAAGAAUGAAUAUAAAAAUGUUGUUUAAAAUAUAGUUUCAUGAUAAUGAAUAUAUAAGAUGUCUAAUUUUUUUAAAACCUUGAUAUUAAAUGUUGAUAAUGAAUAUAUCAAUUAGUUUAUUCUCUAAUUUGUUGUAUCUAUGAUAUAUAUUAUAUGUUAUUGUCUCACCAAGUUAAUUGAACUCAUCCCUUCUUAUUAAUAUUAUUUUCAAGUUCUUAACUUCUGUUAGUAGGUUGAUUUUGUUAAGAGUUCUGGCUAUUUUUUUUUUGUUGGUAUGUCUCAGUUUCUUUCGUGAGAUUUUUUUUUAAUUUUUUUUAAUUUAAUGUUUUAGACACUUUAUUAUUAUAUUGUUUCAUUUAAAGUAUAGAUUUUUAUAUUGUAAUAAGUAUUAUUUGAUUUAAGUGGUUUUGAAGAAUAUUUUGAAAAUAUACAAAAUGUUACGAGUUUUAUUUAAUUUAUUUUAUAAUAAAUAUAUUUGAAACUUAACGUAAAUAAGAUGCUCUCAUAGCACUGCUUCUAUGUUGCCCGUCACUAACUCGGAAUCUGGCUCGUGACAUUGAAUAUCUUUAGCACUGUCCAUGUGAAACAUUUUCCUAUCUAGCUAGGUACUUAAGUUUCUUGUGAGUUAUUGAUUUCGAAAAAGGAGUCAGUACCACAAUACCAGCUAUCAAUCUCAAGGUAUGCAAAAUUAAUUAACUAUAAUCCUAUAAUGAAAUAAGUUGUCAAUAAUAUUACUAGUCUUUUGUUUAUAUAUGGUUAAUCAAGUUGAUAAAUUGAUGGGUUGCUAACUUGCUAUUGAUUUUUCAGGAGCAUAUCCGCCACCAAGCCAGCAGGUGCCUCCUCCUCCUCCUCCUCCUCCUGGUGCGCCCCAAAUAUCUUACCCACCACCAGUUCAAGGGUACCAUCAAGGUCAAUAUGUUGCCCACCUGCACCCACUUGAAAAAUAAUAAUAAUAAUAAGAUGCCCUCGUAGCACUGCUAUUAUUAUUAUUAUUAUUAUUAUUAUAUUCUGUUUGGUCGUUUUGUACAUUUUGGUGGGCCAGGCCCAGGACCCCACAUACUUGGACUGAUAGUUUGGUAAUGAGUCCAAUACCCAAUGGAAAAAUAGGAAAAACAAAAGGAAAAGAAUGAAAGUAAAGCACAAAAACAAAGGAUAAUCCAAGUGCACAAAUCAGUGUGGGACUCAUGCUCAAAAGCUGAAUUUGAUUCGUGUAUCUGGGGUACUUAUCAAUAAAUCUACGUGGAACACACAUUUCUUUAAUUAAAUUAUGAGAUUAAUUAAUUAAUUAAUGAAACGGUGUAAGAAAGGUCUCUCUAUUUUAGUGUCAAGAUUCAACUUUUUAAACCAUUUAGUAGCAGAGUGAUAAUAAUUUGGGAUUAAAAAUUUUUUUUUUUUAUGAUUUUAGAAUGGAGUAAUGUGGUUGCUAAUAUGAUAGUCACUAGAGGUUUAAAUGGUCAUUAAUUUCAGGACCCGUGGAAUUAGUUGAGUUGCGCGCAAGCUGAUCCGGAUACCCAUAUUAAUCAAAAGAAGAAGAAAAAGAAGAUUCAACUCUUUGAAAAGAAAUAUAGAUUUACCAUUAAUAUCACAAAUACACACAUAAUUUAUUAAUAAUAUUAAGAUACAGUUAAUAAGUUGAUCAGGUUUCUGUUUAUAAAGAAUGAAUUAUAUUUCCAUUUAAUUAGAAAAAUAGCAAUAUAUAGUUCAAAUUAAUUUGAUGGCGUGUCUUAAUCUAAUAAAUAUGGGUUACGUACAGGAGAGAGCCACCAUUUUCUAUGCAAUUCAAGGCUUUCGAGCUAUUUUUGUUGUCUCGUUUUGAUUAGAAGAUCAAUUAUUAUUUUCAUUAUCUUGACCAUCUAAAAGCAGACUAAAGUUUCAUUUCUGGAACCUUCUGUCCAUUUUCUAUGCAAUUCAAGUUAGCAAACGAAGGCAGAGUCCACAUUGCUUUUUUGAACAAAUGGAUUGAAUUAUUAUUGAAAGAAAUCCCAAUCGUCACAACAUGAUAGGUCGUCUAGCUAGUUUUUCCAUGCAUGUAAGAAGCCGCCAUUGACGAAGACCUUAAAGAACAUCUAGCCAACUCUAUAAAACAUAUCAUUUCAUUCAUUUGGUUUUUCCAUAUACCAAAUACAAGUUUUUCAUAGGUGAUCCUAUCUUGAUUUCAACAAUGAGUUACGACAGCAACAAGUAUCAAGAUUCAGAAGGUAAUUGAAUUUAUGUUCGGCUUCUGAAAAUCUUUUUUUUUUCCCCUUUUUUUCUGUGAUUUAGGAAGUUAAUCAAUUGAUGGGUUACUAAAUUGAUGAUUUUUCAGGAGUAUAUCCUCCUCCUCCUCCUCCUCCUUGUCCACCACCAAUGCAAGGGUACUAUGAAGCCGGUCCUCAUGUGGCACCACCUCGAGUUAGUGACCCUAUGAAAUAUGGUCCUCAACACCUCCAACAGCCACCUCCUCCAGAAAGAACUAGUCAGAGGGAUGAUGACUUUGGCACAGGAUGGUAACUGAGCAUUUUUUUUCCCUUUUUAUUUAAAUAAUGAUUCACUGUGUACUUAUUUAUUUAUCCUUUUCCUAUGUGAC